UACGUAGGGAGCGAGCGUUGUCCGAAGUUACUGGGCGUAAAGCGCGCGUAGGCGGGCUGUUAAGUGAGAGGUGAAAGGCUGGGGCUUAACCCCAUGCAGUGCCUCUCAUACUGGCGGUCUUGAGUGCGGCAGGGAGAAGUGGAAUGGCUGGUGUAGCGGUGAAAUGCGCAGAUAUCAGGAAGAACACCAAUGGCGAAGGCAGCUCUCUGGGACGGUACUGACGCUGAGACGCGAAAGCGUGGGGAGCGAACAGG
rnacentral:rRNA from 1 species